GGCAGAGUGGCUCAAGUGGUAGAGCGCCUGCCUAGUAAGCAUGAGGUCCUGAAUUCAAAUCCCAGUCCUGCCA